rnacentral:rRNA from 1 species
GUUUAACAAAAACAUGUCCUUUUGAUUAUAAUUUAAGGUCUGACCUGCCCAAUGAUUAAAAUUUAAUGGCUGCGGUAUUUUGACCGUACAAAGGUAGCAUAAUCAUUAGUUUUUUAAUUGAAAGCUGGAAUGAAAGGUUGAAUGAAAAAAUAACUGUCUCUAUUUAAAUUUAUUAGAAUUUUAUUUUUAAGUUAAAAAGCUUAAAUGUUUAUAAAAGACGAGAAGACCCUAUAGAGUUUAAUAAUUUUUGUAUUAUUUUUUUUUAGUAUUUUAAAUUUUAAUUUUAAAAAUUAUUUAAUUGGGGUGAUUGAAAAAUUAAAUAAACUUUUUUUUUAUUUUUACAUUGAUUUAUGAAUAUUUGAUCCUUAUUUUAAAGAUUAAAAGAAUAAAUUACCUUAGGGAUAACAGCGUAAUUUUUUUUAAGAGUUCUAAUCGAAAAAAAAGAUUGCGACCUCGAUGUUGGAUUAAAA